rnacentral:rRNA from 1 species
GAGUUUGAUCAUGGCUCAGGACGAACGCUGGCGGCGCGCCUAACACAUGCAAGUCGAACGGAGCGAGAGAGAGUCUUGCUUUCUCGAGCGAGUGGCGAACGGGUGAGUAACGUGGUGAGGAACCUGCCUCAAAGAGGGGACAACAGUUGGAAACGGACUGCCUAAUAACCGCAUAAGCCCACGGACUCGGGCCAUCGAGGCAGUAGGGAAAAGGAGCAAUCCGGCUUUGAGAUGGCCUCGCGUCCGA